rnacentral:misc_RNA from 1 species
AUCCAGUUAUCUAACAUGAUCCAUAUUCAUCCGGUAACAAAGGAAAUGUCAUCUGUGAGAAGAAAAGAAACAUAAAACAAUUUUAACUAUUAUUUAUGUUAUAUAUUAGUAUUUCUUGUUUUGGAUAAAUUUACUAUUACUUUUCUGUUUUUCGAGGGCAAUAAUAAAUUCGUAUAAUGAUGCUUCUUUACAUUAAUUUUUGAAAUUGUAUUAUUAUAUUGGUAAAGGACAAAUCAUGCUUUUAUCUAUUUUCAGAUAAUUAAGAAUUGCAUAAGAAUAACAAAUUAUUCUUUAUUGCAUCUGCUUACAUCAUUAAAGCAACAUACUUUUGAAAAUAUGUGUAAUUAUUCAGUGUGUAAUAACAAGGAUUUAAAAAUGAUGUUUGUUUCAUUUUAAUUUCAAAAGCGAGUAUCUAAAUUUUAGAUUAUUUCCUAAUCUUUUGACAUGUGGUUCAAGAAAAAUUGUUCUAUUCAUUCAUUUAUUUUUGAUUGUUAAAAAGUUUAUUGACAAAUGCAAAUAAAGGAUAUGAUAAAU